rnacentral:rRNA from 1 species
GAUGUAUAGGAGCUGACGCCUGCCCGGUGCUGGAAGGUUAAGGGGAGCUGUUAGAGCAAUCGAAGCAGUGAACUUAAGCCCCAGUAAACGGCGGCCGUAACUAUACCGGUCCUAAGGUAGCGAAAUUCCUUGUCGGGUAAGUUCCGACCCGCACGAAAGGCGUAACGAUUUGGGCACUGUCUCAACAACAGACUCGGUGAAAUUGUAAUUCCGGUGAAGAUGCCGGAUACCUGCGACAGGACGGAAAGACCCCAUGG